UUGCAAAGUAACUAUUAUAAUUCAUUUCCUACAACAUUGCAUUGGAUAAGUAACAUCAAUUAUUCUACACAUUACAUGCUAUGCUUCAGUAAUGAAAUAGAUAUGUAGUGCAUUUAAUAUAGGUGUAUGUUCCAGAACAGGACCAUGAUACAGCAGAUGAAAAAUACCUUGCUUAUGAACAUGAAUUCACAUAUGACUCAACUUCUCAUGUCAGACACAAAGAACAGAACACAAGAACUAUCCAGUAUGCUCUACAUUUAUCUGGAACUUGAUUAUAAGAUGACUUUCACUCUGUAUGAAGCUGAGGCCAAGUUUUUUAAUCUACUUGUUGGGUGGUGAUGUAUUAAUUAACCUGAAAAAGUAUAUUAAGCAUUGUGUCUUCAAGAAAAGCAGUGGACUGACUUUCAGUUAUCCAACAUUCUAUUUUAUCUGAUGUAUUAAUUAACACUUCUUUAAAAAACACCUUCAUUUACAAAUUUACAUUAUGUUAAAUACUAUUUUUCUUUGUGAGAUUUUUUUAUUUGAUGCCAUGUUGUAUUUUCUUUGUAAUUUAAUGAUAUUGUAAAUUGAGUUACAAAUUGAGUUGGUAUUUA